AACCGCGAAAAUGGUGAAAUUGAAUAAGUUUUGUUUCUGUAUUCCGUUGAAAUGGGGAAAUCCCAUUAUAGUCGUCAUUGAUUCUUUACUAUUCGUGAUUGGAAUGGCUGCAUUAGCUUUUGAAUGGAAACAAGUAAAAAACGUGAAUCUGCCGUAUAUUAUUUUAAUCUUAAUGAAUAACUCCAUACUCCAUUUAGUUGGAGGAUUAUUGUUACUAGUCUCAAUAUUAUGGGUGAAAAGCAGAGAAUUAGUAAUUUGCUAUGCCUUCUCCGGAUGCUGGCGACUUGUAACCUUUGCCAGCAUUAUCGUCUGUGGAUUUGUAAAUUGGUGGAUCUAUGUCGUUAUAGCAUUUAUCAUCAAUUUCAUCUUUGGAAUUUAUUUUAUGGUCUGUGUCUUCUUUUGGCACGCUGAAGUUGAAGAACAGAAUUAAAAUUAUGCCGAGUCUAACAAAUUAUAGAAAUAUGUUACAAAUGAAAUUGAUCAAGUGUGCCAUAUUUAUUGAUAUGUCAAGCAAGCUUUGCACAUCCAGAAAUUUUUCAUUUCUAUUUUAUUUAUCAAAUAAAUUGUGUACGUGUGAACAUCAAAUAAAAAUUCCAAAUUUGUUGCUGAAAUAAUUUAUAUACAACUACUAAAAUGGUGAAAAUGCAAAAGUUCUGUUUCAUAAUUCCUCUCAAAUGGGGAAAUCCUAUUAUUGUUAUCAUCGAUACAUUAUUGUUCGUGCUUGGAAUGGCGGCAUUAGCUUUUGAAUGGAAAAAAGAAAAGGAUACGCAUCUGGCGUAUUUUAUGCUACUCUUAAUCAAUAAUUCAAUACUCCAUUUAGUUGGAGGCAUCUUCUUACUAGUAUCAGUAUUAUGGGUGAAAAGUAAAGAAUUAGUGGUUUGCUAUGGGUUUUCUGGGUGCUGGCGUCUUCUAACCUUUAUAACCAUUAUCGUCUUUGGAUUUGUAAAAUGGUGGCUUUAUACCGCUUUAAUCUUUAUACUAAUUUUCAUCUUUGGCCUUUACUUUAUGGUCUGUGUAUUUUUUUGGCACGCUGAACUAGCAGCUGAAGAAUCGAAAUAAAAGUGUGCUGAAUCAAUUUAUAGAUUAAAUAAAUAGUCCAUAUAUAUAUUUUUCAGAGACGGUCCCAAGUCAA